rnacentral:rRNA from 1 species
UACGUAGGGCGCAAGCGUUGUCCGGAAUUAUUGGGCGUAAAGAGCUCGUAGGCGGCCUGUUGCGUCCGCUGUGAAAACCCGGGGCUUAACCCCGGGCUUGCAGUGGAUACGGGCAGGCUGGAGGCAGGCAGGGGAGAACGGAAUUCUCGGUGUAGCGGUGAAAUGCGCAGAUAUCGGGAGGAACACCGGUGGCGAAGGCGGCUCACUGGCUCGUAACUGACGCUCAUGCACGACAGCGUGGGGAUCAAACAGG